GGAAUUGUUCACAAUGGGCGCAAGCCUGAUGACGCAACGCCGCGUGGGGGAUGAAGGUCUUCGGAUUGUAAACCCCUGUCGAACGGGACGAAAGACUCGGGAGCUAAUCAUCUCGAGAGUGACGGUACCGUGAAAGGAAGCCACGGCUCACUCGGUGCCAGCAGCCGCGGUAAUACAGAGGUGGCAAGCGUUGUUCGGAAUUACUGGGCGUAAAGGGCGAGUAGGUGGCCAUCUAAGUCAGACGUGAAAUCCCCCGGCUUAACCUGGGAACUGCGUCUGAUACUGGACGGCUUGAGUAUGGGAGAGGGAUGUAGAAUUCCAGGUGUAGCGGUGAAAUGCGUAGAUAUCUGGAGGAAUACCGGUGGCGAAGGCGGCAUCCUGGACCAUUACUGACACUGAACCGCGAAAGCUAGGGGAGCAA
rnacentral:rRNA from 1 species